rnacentral:rRNA from 1 species
AACGAACGCUGGCGGCAUGCCUAACACAUGCAAGUCGAACGAGACCUUCGGGUCUAGUGGCGCACGGCUGCGUAACGCGUGGGAACCUGCCCUUAGGUUCGGAAUCACUCCCCGAAGGGGGUGCUAAUACCGGAUAAUGUCCUCGGACCAAAGAUUUAUCGCCUUUGGAUGGGCCCGCGUUGGAUUAGCUAGUUGGUAGGGUACAAGCCUACCAAGGCGACGAUCCAUAGCUGGUCUGAGAGGAUGAUCAGCCACACUGGGACUGAGACACGGCCCAGACUCCUACGGGAGGCAGCAGUGGGGAAUAGUGGACAAUGGGCGAAAGCCUGAUCCAGCAAUGCCGCGUGAGUGAUGAAGGCGUUAGGGUUGUAAAGCUCUUUUACACGGGAUGAUAAUGACAGUACCGGGAGAAUAAGCACCGGCUAACUACGUG